rnacentral:rRNA from 1 species
AUAUUGCACAAUGGGCGAAAGCCUGAUGCAGCAACGCCGCGUGAGUGAUGAAGGCCUUCGGGUUGUAAAGCUCUGUCUUCUGGGACGAUAAUGACGGUACCAGAGGAGGAAGCCACGGCUAACUACGUGCCAGCAGCCGCGGUAAUACGUAGGUGGCAAGCGUUGUCCGGAUUUACUGGGCGUAAAGGAUGCGUAGGCGGAUACUUAAGUCAGAUGUGAAAAUCCCGGGCUUAACUUGGGAACUGCAUUUGAAACUGGGUAUCUAGAGUGCGGGAGAGGAAAGUGGAAUUCCUAGUGUAGCGGUGAAAUGCGUAGAGAUUAGGAAGAACACCAGUGGCGAAGGCGACUUUCUGGACCGUAACUGACGCUGAGGCAUGAAAGCGUGGGGAGCAAACA